rnacentral:rRNA from 1 species
AGUGAACGCUGGCGGCAUGCCUAACACAUGCAAGUCGAACGGCAGCACAGUAAGAUCUUGCUCUGACGGGUGGCGAGUGGCGUACGGGUGAGGAAAGCAUCGGAAUCUACUCUUUCGGGUGGGAUAACGUAGGGGAACUUACGCUAAUACCGCAUACGACCUACGGGUGAAAGCAGGGGAUCGUCUGACCUUGCGCGAAUGAAUGAGCCGCUGUUGGAUUAGCUAGUUGGCGGGGGUAAGGCCCACCAAGGGGACGAUCCGUAGCUGGUCUGAGAGGAUGAUAGGCCACAUUGGAAAUGAGACACGGACCAGACGACUACGGGAGGGAGCAGUCGGCAACAUUGGACAGCGGGCGCGAGUAUGACACAGCCAUACCGCGUGGGUGACGAAGGCGUUCGGGUUGUAAAGCCCGUUUGUUGGGAAAGAACCGCAGCAGGUUAAUACCACGCUGUUGUGACGGUAACCAAAGAAUAAGCACCGGCUAACUUCGUG